rnacentral:tRNA from 1 species
GGGCGGGGAGUGCCCGUCUGUGCCUUACAAGCAGGGGGUCGGCGGUUCGAGUCCGUCAGUGCCCA